GUUUCUCAAAGUGAGUAUGUCUCGGCCUGCUUGGUAUAGCUUCUGAAACAGUUUUUCUAUUAAUCUAUAAGUAGAAGUCGACGUUAAUUUGUGAGGAAGCUUUUGCUUUUAGAUAAAAUAGAAAGUAUAUACUUUGUUUUAAAACUUUUGAUAGAAAAACUCGUUAAUACAUCAGCAAAUAACUUUACGCAAUUAGCGGU
rnacentral:lncRNA from 1 species